UUCCCCUAGUAACGGCGAGUGAACCGGGAAGAGCUCAAAUUUGAAAUCUGGCGUGCUCAGUGCGUCCGAGUUGUAAUCUAUAGAGGCGUUUUCCGUGCCGGACCGUGUCCAAGUCCCUUGGAACAGGGUAUCAAAGAGGGUGACAAUCCCGUACUUGACACGACGACCGGUGCUCUGUGAUACGUCUUCUACGAGUCGAGUUGUUUGGGAAUGCAGCUCAAAAUGGGUGGUGAGUUCCAUCUAAAGCUAAAUAUUGGCGAGAGACCGAUAGCGAACAAGUACCGUGAGGGAAAGAUGAAAAGCACUUUGGAAAGAGAGUUAAACAGUACGUGAAAUUGUUGAAAGGGAAACGAUUGAAGUCAGUCGUGACCGAGAGGCUCAGCCGGCUCUGCCGGUGUAUUCCCCUCGGUCGGGUCAACAUCAGUUUUGUCCGGUGGAUAAGGGCGGUAGGAAGGUGGCACCCUCGGGUGUGUUAUAGCCUGCCGUCGCAUACAUCGGGUGAGACUGAGGAAUGCAGCUCGCCUUUAUGGCCGGGGUUCGCCCACGUCCGAGCUUAGGAUGUUGACAUAAUGGCUUUAAACGACCCGUCUUGAA
rnacentral:rRNA from 1 species